rnacentral:rRNA from 1 species
UACGUAGGGUCCGAGCGUUUGUCCGGAGUUACUGGGCGUAAAGCGCGCGCAGGCGGCGGUGCUGGCCCGGCGUGAAAGCCCCCGGCUCAACCGGGGAGGGUCGUCGGGGACCGCACCGCUUGAGGGCGGUAGGGGCUGGUGGAAUGCCUGGUGUAGUGGUGAAAUGCGUAGAUAUUGGGAGGAACACCAGUGGCGAAGGCGGCAUCCUCGGACCGGCAUUGACGCUGAGGAGCGAAAGCCAGGGGAGCAAACGGG